rnacentral:rRNA from 1 species
GAUGAACGCUGGCGGCGUGCCUAAUACAUGCGAGUCGAGCGAAUAGACGAGGAGCUUGCUCCUCUGACGUUAGCGGCGGACGGGUGAGUAACACGUGGAUAACCUACCUAUAAGACUGGGAUAACUUCGGGAAACCGGAGCUAAUACCGGAUAAUAUAUUGAACCGCAUGGUUCAAUAGUGAAAGACGGUUUUGCUGUCACUUAUAGAUGGAUCCGCGCCGCAUUAGCUAGUUGGUAAGGUAACGGCUUACCAAGGCAACGAUGCGUAGCCGACCUGAGAGGGUGAUCGGCCACACUGGAACUGAGACACGGUCCAGACUCCUACGGGAGGCAGCAGUAGGGAAUCUUCCGCAAUGGGCGAAAGCUUGACGGAGCAACGCCGCGUGAGUGAUGAAGGUCUUCGGAUCGUAAAACUCUGUUAUUAGGGAAGAACAAAUGUGUAAGUAACUAUGCACGUCUUGACGGUACCUAAUCAGAAAGCCACGGCUAACUACGUG